GAUGAACGCUAGCUACAGGCUUAACGCAUGCAAGUCGAGGGGCAGCGGGUUGAAAGCUUGCUUUCAAUGCCGGCGACCGGCGCACGGGUGCGUAACGCGUAUCAAACCUGCCUCAUACUCGGGGAUAGCCUUGCGAAAGUAAGAUUAAUACCCGAUGUUAUUAGUCCAUCGCAUGGUGGACUAAUCAAAGAUUUAUCGGUAUGAGAUGGUGAUGCGUCCGAUUAGGUAGUAGGCGGGGUAACGGCCCACCUAGCCUUCGAUCGGUAGGGGUUCUGAGAGGAAGGUCCCCCACACUGGAACUGAGACACGGUCCAGACUCCUACGGGAGGCAGCAGUGAGGAAUAUUGGUCAAUGGACGGAAGUCUGAACCAGCCAAGUAGCGUGCAGGAUGACGGCCCUCCGGGUUGUAAACUGCUUUUAGUUGGGAAUAAAAAAAGGGACGUGUCCCUUAUUGUAUGUACCUUCAGAAAAAGGACCGGCUAAUUCCGUGC
rnacentral:rRNA from 1 species